GCCCGUCCUUUGGGAAAGCACCUGGUUUAACCAGUACCUUUCCACUGGGUGUGUCUUUUAAUAUUCAACAUUGCGCAUGUGUAAAAACAUACGUACUUAUGCAAAUACGUACAGCUAUGAAAGCAAUGAUCACUGACAGAACUUCCUCUUUCAACACAGGUCUCAGAUCAACCAACGCAGUAACACAGGUCUCAGAUCAACAACGCAGUAACACAGGUCUCAGAUCAACAACGCAGUAACACAG